rnacentral:rRNA from 1 species
CUGCUAAAGCGGAGGAAGGAAUGGGCAACGGUAGGUCAGCAUGCCCCGAAUUAUCCGGGCUACACGCGGGCUACAAUGGUCAGGACAAUGGGUAUCGACACCGAGAGGUGGAGGCAAUCUCCUAAACCUGUCCUUAGUUCGGAUUGUGGGCUGCAACUCGCCCACAUGAAGCUGGAAUCCGUAGUAAUCGCGUUUCAAAAUAGCGCGGUGAAUAUGUCCCUGCUCCUU